GCCUUGUUAGCACAGUAGGUAGCACAUCAGUCUCGUAAUCUGAAUGUUGUGAGUUCAACCCUCACACGGGGCA